UUAUGCUCGGCUGCUGUAUUGCAAAGAAGCAAUUGGAGUCACUCCAAAGAAUAAAUAAUCAUCACUGCAAACAGGAGCUGAAUGGCGAAAGAGUGCUCCAUCAUUACAGCAUGAGUGAUGAACAUCACAGGAAACCUGUCUCUAUCUAGGUUAUUUAUUGAAGGGAAGAGAUCCUGUUCUGUCACUUGAAAUGUGUUAGAAUGAAACCAGUCAAUUUCAGCUGCAGCUCUUCACUGUUCAGUUUCCAUUCCAUGACAAGAUUGAGGCCAAAGAUCACCUUGGGAGCUGUAUGUAUGAGUCACUGUGAAACAAGAGAGCUAAUCUGUAACUAACUAAGUGGGAAUAAAGGUUUGGAUAACAAUGCGGAUUAUCGGAUUCAGAAUAUCAUUCGCCAUUAAUAAAGCUUGUUCCAAGGAAUAUAGAGUCAUCUCUUCAGAC